UCUGCAAAAUGCAGAACCAGGAAUGUUAGCUCAAAAACUGCUUAUUUAGGAAACCUCGGUAAAUCUCCCCAUACACUGAAUAGCCUUUUCUUUGUCAGCAUUUGUAAUAAACUCAAUAAACACUGUUUCGUCACCUCCUCUCUGUAGCUCCUGAACUCAUUGCUCGCUGUACAGAGUCAGUCAGGAAACACUGAAGAUAUAUUGGACCAUUGUACCAAAUUUUAAUUUGAGAAGAUCAGGAGUGACUGACAACAAGAACCAAAAUGUUGGAAGAACUCAGCUGGUCAAGCAGCAUCUGUGGAAAGAGGAACCAUAUCAGAAGAGGGCAUGAGAAGGCCUUGUUGGACAGUCUGAACGGAAUCGGAUUGGUCUAUAUGCUGUAAAAUUGUGUUGGACCUCUCUGGAUGGGGAGAGUGACUUCACGUCCUGCAAGUGGCAGAGAAAGGAACAGAGCAUAUUGCAUAGUUUCCUUAUGAGGUGGGAAGUAUGCAUUUAAAAUAAAGUCAACAUUUAGUUUUAGAAACUGUUCGAGUAUAAAAUCACUAAGCUUUCUGAUCAUUGCCUCAGGAAAGCAGCUAACAUAAUCAAUGACCCCUCUCAGUACAGUUACUCUCUCUUUGCAUCCCUCCCAUCGGGCAGAGGAAUCAAAAACGUGACAGUACAUAAUACCGGGCUGAAGGACAGUUUUUACCAGCAGACUCUGAAAUGGAUCUCUCAUAGAGUAAAAGGCGGACUCUUAAUUUCCCACUCCACCUUGCUGUAGCCCUUGCACAGUAUUUGUCUAUCUGUACUGCACUUUCUCUGUAACUGUAACACUAUAUUCUGUAUUAUGCUUUCCUUUUUGCCACCUCGAUGUAUUUAUGAAUGAAACAAUCAGUCUAGAUCAGGCAUGGGCAAACUACGGCCCGGGUGCCAUAUGCGUCCCGUUAAGCUUUUUAAUCCGGCCCGCAGAACUUGAUGAAAUUAUAUUAAUAAACCUUGUUAACGUUUUUUCUCCGCAAUUCUGGCAUUUUCCCAAUAGAUGACGCACUCUAUAUACAUUGACCUUUGUUGAGGUGCAGCGUAUUACUCCACAUUUGCGCUUUACUCUUUGUUCGGCUUGACCUAUUUGUGUGAACAGGCGUUCAGCGUCAUGAACAUCAACAAAGCCAGCCACAGAUCCAAGUUAACUGACCAACACCUCAGAUCCAUCCUGAGAAUCGCCACAACAAAGCUAAAUCCAGACUUUGAUGCGCUGGCUAAAAAGGGAGACCAACAACACUGUUCCCACUGAAAUUAAAAAUAAGUUUCUUCGUUGCGUUUUGUAAACAAUGCAUUUGAAAAUAUUUUUUUCAAUAAGCCUUACAUGUUACAUGUCAUUUCUGUUAAGUGAUGGACAUGAGUAGUGCACAGGUGCACGUACGUUCUCAAAAUAAAAAAUACGCUCCAGAUCAAAUAACGUACUCCGCAUACUGGCGUGCUGUCACUGUUCUGUCUUUGUGCUGGUCGUUGUUGAGUUUUGGCACAGGGGACAAUUGAAUAAGAAGGAGCAGGACAAGUAGACCUGCAUCUCCUACCGUUUUUGAAAUAAAGACAGUCAGGAGGAGAGUGAUGAUGAUAAUAUCUUGAAGGAUAACAGAAUUUUCAGUGCUUUAAAAUAAUAACUGUUACUAUUUAAAAAAGCUGUAUUUUAUUCAUUUAAUUUUCAAUGUUUUAAAAGUCAUUUCAAUAAAUAGCUAAGUACCAUGGGACUUCAAAGACA